ensembl:lncRNA
GUUUAACUCAUGCAGUAUUUAAACUGGUGGCCAUGUUCACAUGCACUGAAUGGAAAUCAAUUUAUUUUUGAUGGUUUAAACCAAUUUUGGUAUCUACGCUGCUGAAAUAGACCCAUUUCCUUUCCGGUUUAAGAACACACUGUUCUUAAAGAUUUUGAUUUAUUUAUUUUUGAAAUGCAAAGCUCUCCUCUAUUCGUGUUUGUAAAUAGGUAUCUUAUCAUUAAAGCUAAUAUAAUAGGUUGCCUAAUGGUAGAGUUUACAAAUACAGGAGAGGAGAUGCCUUUAUUAGACCACUUAAAAAAUCAAACCAGACCACUAAAAAGCAAAAAAUAUUGCAGAGAAAUUAUAAAUGAGAGUCCCAUAACUUCAUAGCAGAAGUCUGCUAGGAGAGUUUACUACUGUAUUUUUCAAGCUCCUCUAAUACUUUCGUACUUGUUGUAGUGCAAAAUGCAUGAACAACAUAUUAAAUGUGACCUGUAUCAUCAUGUAUUUUGAUCUCCUCACACAGUUACCAUACAUUGGUCUCCCCCGACCCGGACCUUAUCUAUUUAUACCUUACCCUGCUCCUUCUCCUAUCAGACAAUACAAAAUUAUUUAUCAUGUUUUAUGACAUAGCCAAGUGGAAAAAAUAGAUUGUAACUAUCAUGGAGCAAUGCACAGCACACAUGGCAUGAUAUAGUACUUAAGCCAGAUUCGUCACCACUAUAAGAAUUAAACUUAAUGUAAUUCUUGUCUAUAAGGACAUCACGAGACUUUCACCACUUUUAACAUUUUGCUUCCUUGAAAGGAUACAGAGGAUGAUGUAUGGAUGAAGGGUCUACAUUGAGCAAAUGGAGGAGGGUGGCAACACUAGCAGUUUAACUGAACAGUCCCUGACUAUCCACAAUGAACGAACAGCAUCAUCAGAACAACAACAAGCUACUCCUCUUUCUGAUAGCCAAAACUCAGCCAUUGAAUACCGAGCCCUGGAUUCUGCUCUGCUACCCCAGGUUCCUAUAAGUGAGAAUCAUGCCAGCCAGAGAGCCCAAUGUUCUGCAAGAGGAGAACCAGCAAUACUUAUUUCUCCACCUAUUCAAGGUUCAACACUUGCAACUUGUCAUCAGAUUGUUGGCCUUCUUGGCCAGAUCACUGAUCAACAGGAUGGCAUCGUGAGAGAACUACGGGCAAUGCGCAGAGAGAUGCGUCUUAUGAAGGGGGAACAGCGCCGAAUCAGCUCCAGGGUCAUCUCUGUUGCACAUGAUCUUGAAGCACUCAAGGAGCAUUUCCAGUGGCAUUAGAGGCUGACCUCAUCACUUGUUCCCAGAAAUGCAUCUCCUGCCUACCUUCAAACAUGUUUGUUUAACCAACAAAAAGUUGACUGCCCACUUUCUUUAACUGUUUCAAAUUGCAUCAACUUCCACUCGGAAUUGUUUCUCAAUCAGAUACUCAAAAGUCAGGGCUAACAUGGUUUAUGAGUGUUUCUCUAUAUACUUAUGAAUGUUCAUCUACUAGAGAAAGACCAGAGUGAGCAUAGGUAAAGGUAAAGGUUCCCCUUGACAUUUUUAGUCAGUCAUGUUCGACUCUAGGGGGUGGUGCUCAUCCCCGUUUCCAAGCCGUGGAGCCAGCGUUUGUCCGAGGGCAGUUUCCGUUGUCACGUGGCCAGCGCGACUUAGAUUCGGAACGCUGUUUACCUUCCCAUUGAGAUGAUACCUAUUUAUCUACUCGCAUUUACAUGCUUUCGAACUGCUAGGUUGGCGAGGAGCUGGGACAAAGUGACGGGAGCUCACUCCAUUGCAUGGAUUCGAUCUUACAACUGCUGGUCUUCUGACCCUGCAGCACACAAAGGUUUCUGCGGUUUAGCCCGCAGCACCACCAUGUCCCUUAAGAGUGAGCAUACUUAAGAGCAAGCUGUUUACACUAGGCAGCUAUCUCUUCAGAACUAUCAUUUCUUUUAAAGGUGUUGCAAGAAAGUGUCCUCACAACUUGGAUUGGGACCUCCCAUGGCUGCUUUUCUGUCACAUUAAAAAGGCCAGCAAAAGCACGACUCUUCAGACACUGGAUGUAAGCCUAUUGCAAAUGGCAUAACAGUUGGAGGUCCAUAGACAUUAUCUGUUGCAUACCAAAUUAAGUGACUUGGUAUGCAACCGGUAAUGGCUGAUAUCUAGUAAUGUAAAAUUAAGCCUGGUUAUGUCAUCAGUGAUGGCCAUAUUUUGUUAAUUAAGUUUUUCUCUCCCUAGGUUGAUAGGCUCUCUUAUGUCCUGGGGAAUCCUUUGGGGACAGUGGGAGGGCUGUCUUAAA